UACGUAGGGGGCUAGCGUUGUCCGGAAUCAUUGGGCGUAAAGCGCGUGUAGGCGGCCCGGUAAGUCCGCUGUGAAAGCCGGGGGCUCAACCCUCGAAUGCCGGUGGAUACUGUCGGGCUAGAGUGCGGAAGAGGCGAGUGGAAUUCCUGGUGUAGCGGUGAAAUGCGCAGAUAUCAGGAGGAACACCAAUUGCGAAGGCAGCUCGCUGGGACGUAACUGACGCUGAGACGCGAAAGCGUGGGGAGCAAACAGG
rnacentral:rRNA from 1 species